GAUGAAGAACGUAGCGAAAUGCGAUAAGUAGUGUGAAUUGCAGAAUUCAGUGAAUCAUCGAAUCUUUGAACGCACAUUGCGCCCCUUGGUUUUCCAUGGGGCAUGCCUGUUCGAGCGUCAUUUGUACCUUCAAGCUCUGCUUGGUGUUGGGUGUUUGUCCUUGCUCUAGUGGCGGGACUCGCCUUAAAGUAAUUGGCAGCCAGUGUUUUGGUUUUGAAGCGCAGCACAAGUCGCGAUUCAAGUCUAUACGCUAGUUUCCACAAGUCUUUUAUCACUUUUGACCUCGGAUCAGGUAGGGAUACCCGCUGAACUUAAGCAUAUCAAUAAGCGGAGGA
rnacentral:misc_RNA from 1 species